AUUGAACGCUGGCGGCAUGCCUUACACAUGCAAGUCGAACGGCAGCACGGGUGCUUGCACCUGGUGGCGAGUGGCGAACGGGUGAGUAAUACAUCGGAACGUACCUUAUCGUGGGGGAUAACGCAGCGAAAGCUGUGCUAAUACCGCACACGCCCUGAGGGGGAAAGCGGGGGAUCGCAAGACCUCGCGCGAUUAGAGCGGCCGAUGCCUGAUUAGCUAGUUGGUGGGGUAAAAGCCCACCAAGGCGACGAUCAGUAGCUGGUCUGAGAGGACGAUCAGCCACACUGGGGCUGAGACACGGCCCAGACGCCUACGGGAGGCAGCAGUGGGGAAUUUUGGACAAUGGGGGCAACCCUGAUCCAGCAAUGCCGCGUGAGUGAAGAAGGCCUUCGGGUUGUAAAGCUCUUUUGUCAGGGAAGAAACACCGGCUCUAACACAGUCCGGGAAUGACGGUACCUGAAGAAUAAGCACCGGCUAACUACGUGCCAGCAGCCGCAGUAA
rnacentral:rRNA from 1 species